AGGGUAGAAGACGAAGUGGAUAGUUACGGGUUUUGGGGGCUCGCGUUAGCGUGUUCGAGUCACGCCUACCCUA
rnacentral:tRNA from 1 species